CUGGAUUCUAUUCUUGUUGAAAACACAAC
rnacentral:piRNA from 1 species